rnacentral:rRNA from 1 species
AGGAUGAACGCUGGCGGCGUGCUUAACACAUGCAAGUCGAACGGUGAAGGCGGAGCUUGCUCCGCUGGAUCAGUGGCGAACGGGUGAGUAACACGUGAGCAAUCUGCCCCGGACUCUGGGAUAAGCGCUGGAAACGACGUCUAAUACCGGAUACGAGACGCGAAGGCAUCUUCAGCGUCUGGAAAGAACUUCGGUCUGGGAUGAGCUCGCGGCCUAUCAGCUAGUUGGUGAGGUAACGGCGUCACCAAGGCGACGACGGGUAGCCGGCCGUGAGAGGGUGACCGGCCACACGUGGGACUGAGACGACGGCCCAGACUCCGUACGGGAGGCAGCAGGUAGGGAAGUAUUGCACAAUGGGCGCAAGACC